UCCCCAACCGUAAGGGCAGUUGAAGAACUACGAGCCAAUAAUACUGCAUCUCUGGGAGGCAGUCUAUCACUGGCUACCAAGUGAGCCAUAAACUAGUCUCAGAAACCCUGCUUCGCACAGCAUCCAACGAAACACUCCCUUGAGAUUAUCUCCCGGCUCUGAAUAUCAGAAACCGAUGAUAAGCGACGACAAAGCUCACACUGCAAGAGACAAAAAUAAAGCCCGAUCUCCAAUCAGUUUUCGGUUAACUGCCAAGCAGGCAAUACGCGCAUCGAAAAUUUGUAUCGCCGUGUUGAUCGCCUGAUCGAUAGUGUAUCACUUUGAAGUGCAUAUAAUUGAUUUCGUUUGCGGAGGCUUUAAACUCUUGGUGUGCAGUGCAGUGGGUGAUUUUAGAGGCUUAGGGCAAGCCCUAUAUAGCCGACAAAAUGUGCCUGCUCCAAGCAGUGAAAAGUAUGGAGUAGGGCGGUGAUUUGCAGUGAGAUCGGCCUUUCGUUCACUGCAUAAAUUAUGUGGUGUGUCCUGUGAGCUGCAUUCCAGAGCGAUGGUGGACUGGAGUGGCUGGCACGGAUAGCUGGCAUGAGCCGGCAAGCAUUCGCGUUCUGUCCGGGCAGACAUCAAGGUUUGCGGUCGCCGAGGGAUACACGGUUACACUGACACACACACAAAUUAAACUUUAGGUUAAGGAUUUAGCGUAAGUAUA